GGCAGUUUUGCAUGAUAUUUGGAAUAAUUACAUAUGUACGAUAAUUUUACUAGAAGUACAAUUAUUUCAACCUGUGUAGUAUGAUAAUAUGGCCAAAACAAUCUGGCAACGCUGACUGCUGCCUGACGAAUUAGUCAGUGUGUCGCGUCUAUGAGUGGUGUUAGCACGUCUGUUUCAACUCCCAGCCUGACGGAUUUUUUUUUUUUUUUCUUUUUCCUUUUCCUUUUCCUUUUCUUUUUUUUUUGUGUGUAUGUGUGUGUGUGUAACCACGCCUACACAGUGGCUGCCAAGGCUUACCCAUGAGUUAAACCUUCUUUAGUUGGUAAUGAGGAAGGCGUGGGCUCUAGCAGUGGAUACUCAAAGGCAGCAGUGGGUGAAAACAAGCAAAAUAAAGAAAAGUUUGGCUGUGAAAAGGUGCUAGACAGCCAGCCAUAGUGACGAGGAGGCAGGAAGGUAGAUCACCACCACCAUCACCAUCACAGAGAAGGCUGAGUUGCAGCAUUACCUUAUGGGAGGAGAUGGCUGGGAUCUCAAAGGAGUGUGUGAGGCUGGUGGAGCUCCCAUGUAAUGAGCUAACACUCAUCCCUAGCUGCUUCUCCUGGUGAUGAUCUGUGGUGUCAAUACUGGUACCACUGCUGUUGCGCCACUUCUUGGCCUGUGUCCAGAGGCGCUCUUGAAGAUCCCUGGCCUUGGGAUACAUUGAUAGGAUAUGGAUAGGAUAUGACUAGAAAGGAAGUUAAUAUACUGCUGUCAUAACAUUAGCUAAUAAUGUAUUUAUACAGUUCAUAACUAAAACAUGAUGAUUAACCAACAUAUUUAUACGAGAAGGAUACAAAUUAAAAGAAUACUUUAAUUUCAAACUUGUCCCCAAAAGUCAUAAUCUGCCAUGAAGUUAAAUCUGCCAUUAGAGAUGAUGCACAAGGAUCAGUUACUCAUUACUGUAUUCACAAUAAAAUUCAAUUCUAGUAA